AUUGAACGCUGGCGGCAUGCCUUACACAUGCAAGUCGAACGGCAGCGGGGACUUCGGUCCGCCGGCGAGUGUCGAACGGGUGAGUAAUGUAUCGGAACGUACCAUUGAGUGGGGGAUAACGUAGCGCAAGUUACGCUAAUACCGCAUAUUCCCUCCGGAGGAAAGCAGGGGACCGUCAGGCCCUGCGCUCUUCGAGAGGCCGAUAUCAGAUUAGCUAGGUGGUGAGGUCAAGGCCCACCCAGGCGACGAUCUGUUCCGGGUCUGACGAGGAGGAGCCGCCACACUGGAACGGAGACACGGUCCAGACUCCUACGGGAGGCAGCAGUGGGGAAUUUUGGACAAUGGGGGCAACCCUGAUCCAGCCAUGCCGCGUGAGUGAAGAAGGCCUUCGGGUUGUAAAGCUCUUUUGGCCGGGAAAAAAUCGCAUGGGCUAAUAUCCUGUGUGGAUGAUGGUACCGGAAUAAGAAGCACCGGCUAACUACGUGCCAGCCGCCGCGGUAA
rnacentral:rRNA from 1 species